rnacentral:rRNA from 1 species
GACGUACCACCCAAACGUUAUUCGGAUUCACUGGGCUUAAAGAGUCCGUAGGCGGCCAAGAAAGUUGGGUGUGAAAUCCCUCGGCCUAACCGAGGAACUGCAUUCAAAACUACUUGGCUUGAGAGAUACAGAGGUGAGCGGAACUGAUGGUGGAGCGGUGAAAUGCGUUGAUAUCAUCAGGAACACCGGUGGCGAAGGCGGCAUCCUGGACCAAUAUUGACGCUGAGGAGCGAAAGCUAGGGGAGCAAACGGG